CAACGGCGAGGAAGCCGGGAGGAUGAAGACUCAGGAUGAGGGGUCAGGAGCGCCAGGAGGCGAAGACCAGGGAUGACUGUCAGGAUGACAAACGUCUGGAGACGUUUUGACAAGGAAAGGGAUGUAACAGGGAACGUUAUUCGCCAAAGGAAAGACAGGGUGCGUCGUUGGCGAACAGGGAAAGUGGAAACCCGUUGCGGGUUUGUGAGUGAGGAAAAAGGCGGCAGAGUAAUCUGUCGCCUUUUUUCUUUGCUUGCUU
rnacentral:sRNA from 1 species